rnacentral:rRNA from 1 species
UACGUAGGGGGCAAGCGUUGUCCGGAAUCAUUGGGCGUAAAGCGCGUGUAGGCGGCUCGGUAAGUCCGCUCUGAAAGUCCGGGGCUCAACCCCGGGAGGCGGGUGGAUACUGUCGAGCUCGAGUCCGGAAGAGGCGAGUGGAAUUCCUGGUGUAGCGGUGAAAUGCGCAGAUAUCAGGAGGAACACCGAUGGCGAAGGCAGCUCGCUGGGACGUGACUGACGCUGAGGCGCGAAAGUGUGGGGAGCAAACAGG